UACGUAGGGGGCAAGCGUUGUCCGGAUUUAUUGGGCGUAAAGAGCGUGUAGGCGGCCACACAGGUCUGCUGUGAAAACUCGAGGCUCAACCUCGAGCUGUCGGUGGAAACCGUGUGGCUAGAGUCCGGAAGAGGAGAGUGGAAUUCCCGGUGUAGCGGUGAAAUGCGCAGAUAUCAGGAGGAACACCGAUGGCGAAGGCAGGUCUCUGGGCCGAUACUGACGCUGAGGAGCGAAAGCGUGGGGAGCGAACAGG
rnacentral:rRNA from 1 species